rnacentral:rRNA from 1 species
UAGGGAAUCUUCGGCAAUGGACGAAAGUCUGACCGAGCAACGCCGCGUGUGUGAAGAAGGUUUUUGGAUCGUAAAACUCUGUUGUUAGAGAAGAACAAGGACGUUAGUAACUGAACGUCCCCUGACGGUAUCUAACCAGAAAGCCACGGCUAACUACGUGCCAGCAGCCGCGGUAAUACGUAGGUGGCAAGCGUUGUCCGGAUUUAUUGGGCGUAAAGCGAGCGCAGGCGGUUUCUUAAGUCUGAUGUGAAAGCCCCCGGCUCAACCGGGGAGGGUCAUUGGAAACUGGGAGACUUGAGUGCAGAAGAGGAGAGUGGAAUUCCAUGUGUAGCGGUGAAAUGCGUAGAUAUAUGGAGGAACACCAGUGGCGAGGGCGGCUCUCUGGUCUGUAACUGACGCUGAGGCUCGAGAGCGUGGGGAGCAAACAGG